rnacentral:rRNA from 1 species
GACAGAGGGUGCAAACGUUGUUCGGAAUUACUGGGCGUAAAGCGCGUGUAGGCGGCUAAGUAAGUCGGGCGUGAAAUCCCACGGCUCAACCGUGGAAGUGCACUCGAAACUGCAUAGCUAGAGUCCUGGAGAGGAGGGUGGAAUGCUUGGUGUAGAGGUGAAAUUCGUAGAUAUCAAGCGGAACACCGGUGGCGAAGGCGGCCCUUCUGGGACA